rnacentral:rRNA from 1 species
UACGGUCGCAAGAUUAAAACUCAAAGGAAUUGACGGGGACCCGCACAAGCGGUGGAUGAUGUGGAUUAAUUCGAUGCAACGCGAAAAACCUUACCUACCCUUGACAUGUCAGGAAGGCCGGAGAGAUUUGGCUGUGCCCGAAAGGGAACCUGAACACAGGUGCUGCAUGGCUGUCGUCAGCUCGUGUCGUGAGAUGUUGGGUUAAGUCCCGCAACGAGCGCAACCCUUGUCAUUAGUUGCUACGCAAG